rnacentral:miRNA from 1 species
GGCAGGUAUUAGGUUGCUGUAAAAGUUAUUGAGGUUUUUGCCAUUACUUUUCGUGGCAAAAACUGCAAUUACUUUGCACCAACUUAAAUAC